rnacentral:rRNA from 1 species
UACGAAGGGGGCUAGCGUUGCUCGGAAUCACUGGGCGUAAAGGGUGCGUAGGCGGGUCUUUAAGUCAGGGGUGAAAUCCUGGAGCUCAACUCCAGAACUGCCUUUGAUACUGAAGAUCUUGAGUUCGGGAGAGGUGAGUGGAACUGCGAGUGUAGAGGUGAAAUUCGUAGAUAUUCGCAAGAACACCAGUGGCGAAGGCGGCUAUCUGGACCGUAACUGACGCUGAGGCGCGAAAGCGUGGGGAGCAAACAGG